UACUACCUAUAAGACUGGGAUAACUUCGGGAAACCGGAGCUAAUACCGGAUAAUAUAUUGAACCGCAUGGUUCAAUAGUGAAAGACGGUUUUGCUGUCACUUAUAGAUGGAUCCGCGCCGCAUUAGCUAGUUGGUAAGGUAACGGCUUACCAAGGCAACGAUGCGUAGCCGACCUGAGAGGGUGAUCGGCCACACUGGAACUGAGACACGGUCCAG
rnacentral:rRNA from 1 species